AAACAGAGGGAUUUGACUCUACUCAGGUUCCAGUACAUUCUAGAUUUCUCUGCUUUCAGAGUCCAGGUUGGGGACCAGCUAGAGACCGUCUUUCUCCUGAGUGGGAACGAUCCUGCCAUUCAUCUCUACAAAGAGAACGAGGGGCUGCACCAGUUUGAAGAGCAACCCGUGGAAAACCUCUUCCCAGAGCUCACAGACCUGACCAGUAGUGUCCUCUGGCUUGAUGUGCGCAACCUCCCGGGCACAUCCCGGCGCCUCUCGGCUCUUGGCUGCCAGAAUGGUUAUGUACGUGUGGCUCACGUGGACCAGCAGAGUCAAGAGGUAUUGCAGACUUGGACAGUCCUGCAGGACGGACCCAUCUCCCGGGUGAUUGUGUUCAGCCUGUCUGAUGCAGUGGGUAAGCUCUGGGCUCCAGACCAUGGGAGUUGGGGGAGAGGGGUUACUGCAGGCUCAGUUUUCCCAACCCUAACAGCCAGACCCUGUGCUUUUUUGGAUGUCCCUAUCUAGCCCUCAAGUUGUGCCACA
rnacentral:lncRNA from 1 species